UGUGCAAAGGUCAGGACCCAGCAUAGAGACCACAACUUUAAAUCGGGAGUGGUCCUUCAGUCCAGAGGCUAUGAGGUAGUUCGCUGGCGUUCGCGGGCCCCAAGUAUCCUCUAUCUUUUCUAGUUUGUUUUAUUUGUAUCAAACAGACACAUGAUGUAUUUCUUUCAGANNNNNNNNNNNNNNNNNNNNNNNNNNNNNNNNNNNNNNNNNNNNNNNNNNNNNNNNNNNNNNNNNNNNNNNNNNNNNNNNNNNNNNNNNNNNNNNNNNNNNNNNNNNNNNNNNNNNNNNNNNNNNNNNNNNNNNNNNNNNNNNNNNNNNNNNNNNNNNNNNNNNNNNNNNNNNNNNNNNNNNNNNNNNNNNNNNNNNNNNNNNNNNNNNNNNNNNNNNNNNNNNNNNNNNNNNNNNNNNNNNNNNNNNNNNNNNNNNNNNNNNNNNNNNNNCAGACACAUGAUGUAUUUCUUUCAGAUUAUUAUUUUUAGUAGUCUUUAGUUGUCCAUAAGCAGUGACACCAGAUACUGGGUAGAGAUAUGUUGCUAGUUUUCCGCUUAUUGUUUUCGUUAUCGUUAUUAGAAGACUUCCACAUGUUUUAAAUAAUUAUUCUAGUAUUUGAUUUGUUUUAGAUUUAAGUUUUUAGAAACAUGAUUAUAAAGGUUGGCUUGCCUAGCUUAGGUAGUAGGCUCCAUCACGACUCCCGAUGGUGGAUAAAUCUGGGUCGUGACAUAUUCCAUCCUUAUUUAUAUCAAAGGAAAUAAUUCACAACUCCAACUAUCUUCAAUUAGCAACUUUAUUCACUAGUUCACGUCUACUCGAUCCAUUUAACUUAAUCAACAUCAAUAUAACCUUAAGCACAGACAAGAACACAAUACACAUACCUUUUUGAGUAACUUUAAUUCAAAAUCCAAGUUCUAUUUAGCUUACAACAACCCCCAAUGGAAAUACAGCACCAUAGAAGUGAAUUAAACUAAUCCAAGUAUUAUCUUGUAUUUUAUCAUCUUAUUAACUUAAUCAACAUAUAGACAAGCUUAAGCACAAUUAGUAGGUUGUUAUGCUCACCUUAGCUAGUAGCAACAACUUGAAAUUUUAACCAAACAAAACCCACAACUAUCUUUAAUGACAACACCAUCUCAAAGAGAUGUUGUUCUUCACUAGAACCAACUUUUGAUGUUAAAAUAUGAUGCAAUUACUUUGGAAUCACUUCAAACCCUGAUGAUAUGAAGGAGGGUUUGGAAAAGUUUGGAGACAAAUGUGAGAUGAAAAUGAGCCAAAAAUAGGCAACCAAAUUGUUGAUUAAGCAAAGUAGGUCAACCACCGCAUAAGUGGAUCCCAUUGGGAGUUGAUUACGUGUGGUCUCGCAAAAAAGCAAAUAUUUCUCUACUUCAAUUUCGUAUCGAUGAAUGGCUUAAUCUGAUUGAAAUAAGAAUUGUAGAUCUUCAGUUGGAAAUAUAUAUGAUCCCUUAGUUGAAAGUAUACUUGGAGAAAAGAGCAACUAUAUUUGACCUAAUUUUUAAUAUAUUAUGAAUGUAACUUUGAUGUCCUUAGCCAACUUUUGUUCCAUAACACACUUGAUUUCAAAACAUAACACACAACUAUUUGGGAUUCCAGAUAAGUUUCUAAACCCAUUGGAGGAUGAUCAUUUGUUUAAGAGAUGGGAUGAAGUAACGACCCGACAAGGCGUUUCGAGAGUUGUAUCCAUGUUCCCAUGUUUGCUGCACAUUUUAUGCUUUAUCACUGCUAUGUGACUUCCGGGGUAGUUUGUUCGGGUCCGAACAAGUUUUGGAAUGAGUUGAGAUACUUAGUCUUAAAGUUAGAAAUUUUAGUUGAAAAGGGCUGACCAGAUGAUGACUUAUGUGUAAAUGCCUGUAGAAUGAAGUUUUUAUGGUUCUGCUAGCACCGUUCAGUUAUUUUGGACAUAGUAGCGUGUCCAGAGAGUGAUUUGGAAGUGCAUGGUUGAUUUAUGCUUGAAGGAAAAAAUUGAAAAUUUAGAAUUUUGACCGAGAGUGGACUUUGUCUCUACCGGGCUUGGAUUGGGGUUUGGGAGUUUGAGUAGGUCCUUUGUGGCAUUUGUGACUUGUGUGAAAUAUUCUAGAUCAAUUGGGCUUUAUUUGGUAGGUUUCGAUAUUGGAUGUAGAAAUUAGAAGUUCAAAUGUUCAUUAGGUUUGAACGGAUGCACGAUUUGCUGUUUUUGCGGUGUUUGAUAUGAUUUUAAAGCUCAAAUAAGUUUGUAUCGUGUUUUAGGACUUGUUGGUAUAAUUGGUUGAGGUCUCGAGGGUAUUGGGUUGCUUUCAGAUUUUUGAUGGAUCAAAUUUGGAGUUUGAAAGAUUGCAUGUGCGCACCAGCCCUUAAAGAAGUGGCCAGAAGUCUAGCCGGGCAGUGCUCGCAGGUGUGAGAGUUUUCCCAUACAUGCAAGGUCGCAUGUGCAAAGUGACGAAUGUAGAAGCAUAAAUGGGAAAGGGAGUUUCCUCCACAGAAGCGGUAGUGUGCUCGUGAAGUUAGUCCACCGUUGAGGAUUUUUGUUCCCUUAGAGAAAAGCAAAUCACAUGGGCGGAUGCUUUCGAGGGUUUUAUCAUUUCUUGACUUUGCAAACUAGGAUUUGGGCGAUUUUUGAGAGGGAUUUCGAAGGGAGUUUUGACGUAAGUAACUUGUGAUUAAAGCUAUUCAAUAAUUAUUUUCCCUAUUAAAUUUCCCACCUAGAUUGUAUGGUUUAGAGGUAUAAUUUUGGGAGUUUGAGGCUAUGGAUAUGGAGAGUUUAAAUUAGGGAUUUCGGUGUCGAUUUGGUGUUGGAUUUUGGUAAAUUUGGUAUGGUUAGACUUGUGGUUGAAUGUGCUUCCAGAUUUUGUGACCUUCGUUAGAUUCCGAGAUGUGGGCCCGGGAUGAAGUUUGGAUUUGACUUUUAAUUAAGAACUUAGUAAUUUCAUAUAAAAUUGAUUCCUUUAGCUCGUGCUUAUGGUAUAGAACUGUUUGCGGCUAGAUUUGGGGCAUUUGGAGGCCGUUUCGCGAGUUAAGGGCUUAGUGGAGUAGGGACUUGCACAAUUUGAGGUCAGUAACAUCUCUAAAUUUGAUUUUGAUGGUAUGAAAUUCCAAAUUAUGUGUUAUAUGAUUGGUGUUAAGGUGAUAGACAUGCUAGGUGAUAGGCAUACGGGCGUGCACUAUAAGAAUUGUCACUUGGUCGAAUUCUAUGGAACUCUAUUGUUGAAUAAUCUUGUUAUUACCAAUAUUUUCACCAUGUGAGAGAAUAAUUGAGCUAGCACUCAUGUUAGAAAUCCUGUUAUGAUUACACGUCGAAUUAUCUGCUUAAUUUUCCCAAUUAUACUCAGCCACAACUAUUAUUUGCAUAAUGUGUCUCAGUCUCUAUUGUUCUUUAUUUGAUACACUCAAUCCUCAUUGUUUGGGAUGAUUAUCAUAAUUUUGGUGAGCUCGAGAGAUUCGAGAGAUUAAUGACUGAGUGAGACUGAGGGUUUAUUGUGAGUGAUUAUCGUUAUAUUGGGUUUCACGCUACAACAAGCUCUAUUGAUUAAUUUCACGAUUUGUCUUAUUAUAAUGCUUGGGAUGGAUCAGCCAUCUAGUGUUUGCACAUCCACAAUGGGCACAAUGCUAGCAGUUAUUUACUUUUAGGCCGGAUCUGCCCUUGCUUAGUUGUAUUUUGGGCUGGAUCUACCAUGUUUUGUGUUGAAAUUUGUUGCAAAACCUGAAUGCAUGUCUAAGUUCGUGUACCUUUACUUGUAGAUCAUAUAUUUUUGAGAUAUCACUUCAUAUUCGUUGUAUGUUUUUUGUACUGUUAAUACUCCAUGUGGAUUGUAUUACUCAAACUCGUCACUACUUUUAGUUCAAUAGUUAGUCUUGUUACAAAGUGAGUUGGUUGUACUCACGCUUUACUCUGCACUUCAUGUACAGAUCCAAGUGUCUUAGGACACGAUGGGUGCUGAUUAUCUAAGCAGCUUAGUAAUUUAGAGAUUUCGAGGUAGAUGCCCGGUAUCCGCAAACCUUGACUUUCCUUCCCUAUCUUUCAGCUUUAUGUAUUUAGUUUCAGAUUUUCAUAGAAAAUAUUUAAGACUUGGUGUUGUAUAGAUGCUCAUGUACUCAGUGACACCUUGAUUUGGGGAAUUAUUAUUUUGAGUUUUGAUCAUUUAUUCAGUUUAUGAGAGCUUUAAUUAUUUAAGCAUGUUUUUGUCUAUUUCAUUUAAUAGUGUUGGAAAUGUUUUGAGGUAUCAGCUUAACUACUACCAUGCUAGGCACCAUCACGACAGGCUAAGUUUUGGAUCUUGACAGAAAGCAAGCAAGUUAUACAUUAAUAAACAAUUUAUACAAUCUUGAAGGGUACAACAUAUGGCCUAUUUUAAUCUAUGUUCAAACAAGCGUACAAAUAAUGAAUGGGGGGGGGGGGGGCCCCCCUUUUUUNNNNNNNNNNNNNNNNNNNNNNNNNNNNNNNNNNNNNNNNNNNNNNNNNNNNNNNNNNNNNNNNNNNNNNNNNNNNNNNNNNNNNNNNNNNNNNNNNNNNNNNNNNNNNNNNNNNNNNNNNNNNNNNNNNNNNNNNNNNNNNNNNNNNNNNNNNNNNNNNNNNNNNNNNNNNNNNNNNNNNNNNNNNNNNNNNNNNNNNNNNNNNNNNNNNNNNNNNNNNNNNNNNNNNNNNNNNNNNNNNNNNNNNNNNNNNNNNNNNNNNNNNNNNNNNNNNNNNNNNNNNNNNNNNNNNNNNNNNNNNNNNNNNNNNNNNNNNNNNNNNNNNNNNNNNNNNNNNNNNNNNNNNNNNNNNNNNNNNNNNNNNNNNNNNNAAAAAAAGAAUGGGGGGGGGGGGGGGUCCUCCAUUUUUUAGCCUAAAGGAUCGCCUCGUGUGACAUAAAUAAUACUUCACAACUCCACUAGGGGCAAGAGUUGCUCCUAUUAUUCAGUGGGUACAUAUUAUUAUCUCCUACUACCCAAUUACUUUGUUAAAGGUGAUUACCUAUAGGCAUUCUAGUUCAAUUCUAAAUUACGUCCUAUGCAUGCUUUACUUGUCCCAUGCCUAUGGACUAGGAGGCUUUGGACCUACUACUUUGGGAGAUCUAUAUUUUACUUAGGAUGCUCAAAAUUAUAACACUAGGCGCACAAUAACAACAAGUAAGAUUGUACAUAGUUAACAGUUAAGGGCUCAAAUUGGCCUCCUCACAUAAAUACAAAUGCACACAAACAGUUAUAGGUACAUGCUAAUAUCAUUCCUAAAUUGCUAAGUAAGCUGUAAACGAACAAAUUUGAAGUUCGAGUGAGUUGCAAGGCAUAAGACCUAUAGGUAUGAUUUCUAUGUGAUUGAUCGAUGCAGGGAUUGUCAUUAGAGUUCUGCGAUGGGUCUAAAUCAAUCUUCCCGGAACGAAAACAAUCAACCCUGUAAGUCAUAGAACCAUAAAAUACAUGUGUGAAACAUCAAAGGGGAAAACAUGCGCAGUUAUACAUAUUGACUGGUCGGAACGUUACACACGGUCACUAUGACUAGCUCACACAAGCCUUCACGUUCGUGAAACUACCCACGAGAUCACAAUAAAGGCACCAGAUAGUAGAAAAAUUUUCAACUUCAGAAUUUGUUUAACCACCGAAACCCAUCCAAGAUCUCCGAGACUGCUCCACGCAAUCAAACAAGUCCAAUAUCAUUGUACUGACCUAUUCAAAUGUCUCGAAUGAUGCAGGGGCGGCUCAUUAAGUUUGGUGGCCUAAAACUGAACUUUAAUAUGAGGCCCUUCUAAAAAAAUCCUAUAUAUUUUUACUUCAAGUAAAUUUUUCUAGCUUUUUUAGAAUAAAGUUACUUAAAAUUUUCCGCAUAAACCAGAUAAUCUCUCAUGUGCAGUAUCUAUCUUAAGUAGGAGAGAAAAACAAGCGGGUCGGGGUCGGAUAUGGUUCGGAUAAAAAAUGGAUAAGGAAAAAGUGGAUCAAUAAUCUGACCCGACCCAUAUUUAAUACGAAUAAAAAACGGGUUAACCCGCUUGUAAUAUAGGUUACUCAUACUAUCCAUGACUUCUUGUAUAAGAUCACUUUUGGGAGAAUUUUUAGUCUCCCUAACUUGAGGAACCCCCAAUUUGAGACUUCACAAAUGUAAAAGUUUUACUCAUUGGUUAUCCAUUGGUUACUUAUUGGUUAUCCAUUUUCUAAAUGGAUAAUAUGGUUCUUAUCCAUAUUUGACCUAUUUUUAAAAAUUUCAUUAUCUGGCCCAUUUUUUAAUGGAUAAUAUGGGAGGUUAACUGUUUUCUUUGAACUAUUUUGUCACCCCUAAUCUUAUGUAAUAGAACCCAAUUGAAGAAGUUAAUAAAUUUGUAUUAAAAGAAUUAUUAGAUAUUUCAAUUUACUUUGCAAUGAUGAAAAUAUGAGGAAAAAAAUACAGUUUAAAAAUGUAUUAUAUAUUUUCUAAUGAUUAAUUUAAUCCUUUUUUUAUAUAAAAUAUUUUAAUUUUCUAAUUUGAAAUAGCAUUUCAUACGGUGCGAAUUCGAAUUAAUCAAUGUUACAAAAUAAAUAUCGGACAUCAAAUAAGAAUUGAAAAAUAAAAAUUGAAACCCCAAAAUUCUAGGGCCUAAAGCCACAUCUUUAGUGGCUUUACCCUCUGGCCGCCCCUGGAAUGAUGAAGCGAAUGCAACUAUUAAAAUCAAAGUUGCUAGGGUCGAUAUAAGGAACUCUAUAACUUCCAAAAAUGGUGCCGGAACAGUACCUCGAGCUCGUCCGGUUCCAAACCAACCAUAUAUCAUAUGAACAUACGAAAAGUCUUAAAAUAUGUAAUGGCACAUAACAAUAAAAGAGAGAUCGUAUUGUUAUAGAAAGUCGUUCCAAAAGUACAUCAUAUUAAUUAAUAUAAUAUUAUUACCAUUGGAAACGCAACACAGAACACAUAUGGAAUACAUAUCACACCAAAUAGUUUUAUUUAUUCAUAGGCAUUUAGGAUGGCCAUAAUACUUCAUCGUACUGAUGGGAACGGGAACAAAUAUAUCUAUUUCCCGACAUGGUGAGGCUCAAGAUCUUUGAGGACGCAAAUACAGAGUUCCAAAAGAUCAAGGGGCUCUGGUGUGCUUUCAUCCAACUUCUCAUACACAAGGGUCCAAGUCAUCCAGUUUUCCUCUGCAGUCAAAGUAGCUGUUAUGGACUUGUAUAAUUCAUUCAUAUAACCUUCAACAAAAUUGAAGGUGAUUGAUUUUUUUGCAUCAUCUAUGUGUAGGACCUGCUUCGCAUGCCUCUCUUUUCCUCCUGUUGUCCAAACGAACACAGUGAGAAAAAACAAAACAUUAACAAAUUUUUUUAAAAUAUCUCAGAUCUUGGUCAUAUAAUAAGUUAAUCAAUCCGUCCAUAUCUUAUUUGCUCCUUUUUGCUUUUACGCAUUAUUUGCACGUAAACUUGUAAUACAUUACGGUUGUGUUCGGUAGGACUGAAAAUUCAAUUUUUUUAUGUUUAGUUGAUUUAAAUAUUUUAAAAAAAAUAUUUUCAUGAACAUAUUUUUUCAUUCGGAGAAAAAAUGAUUUCCUUAUCGAAAGAAGGGAAAGUAUUUUUCAAAACUCUUUCAACCUUCCCCAUCCUAUUUCUCACCUCCACUCUUACCUCUACCCCCACCCCUACCCUCCCCCACAACCUCACCUCACCCCAUUAACACUUCAUCCCCUCGCCACCCCCUUGCCACCACUAUUCCAGCUGUUAGACCCAAACCUACCACUCUUCCCCUAUUUCGUCUCAUAUUCCGGCUUUUCUAAAAAUUAUGUUUUUCCGUACAAAACACACCCUACAAUAUCUCAAAUAAAAAGAAGAGAGAAAGGUGAGAAAUCGAUCACUUGUACGUACCAAAGCAAUUUGAAAUUCGAAAGGAAAUAGAGGCUUACCGAGAACGUACUUCCAGCUGACAACAGAACCAGUAUUACCCAACUGACCCUCAUGUAACGUGAAAUUUUUUACCUUAUCAGGAGACAUGGUGGAGGUUUGGUGUGGAUUUGAUUUGAAGUGUUCAUGAAGCAAAUGUCCAGCACACUUCAUCUCUAUUUGAGAGAUCAUCUUGCCUUUGAGACCCAUUUGUUAGCAGUGUGAGAUUUUCUUACACGAGUUUGUUGCUUUAAUUUAGCGUGACCUUAUAGCCUUUAUAUAGAGUGUCUCUUGAGAACAAUACUAGAGUAUGUUCGCCGUGCUCCCGCACGGGCCCAACCAUUUGGAUUAGAUUGUAGUUUAUUAGGGUAGAUAAUAUAUGAAAUUUUCAAAUGCAAUGUAAUUCAAGUAAAGUUAAUUAUUGGAGCAAGCCAAGGUUUGUGUUCCAUAAACAACGUAGAGUUAAUGUCAUUUAAAGAAAUUAUUAUAACAAUUAUAGUUUCUGUACCGGGAAAAACAUUACAAUAUCAUUUAAUCUUAUUUGUAUUAUUACGUGAUACUCUCUUUCUUAAUCAUUCCCAAAAAGAUGACACGUUUUUAAUGCUCUUUCAGCGUGUUUCUAAAGGAAAAAAUGGUUGAAUAUUUCCGCUACCUUUGUUACAUUAUAUAUGACAUUCUUUCAUUUUACAAGAGUGGCAACUUUUAUAUUUGAGAAUUCUUAAAUUGUUAUCUUAUAAUCUUAAAAAGAUCAUAGCAUGUACAUGACCCAAGGUCUAAGAGUACCUUUAGUAUGUGUAAAAUAUCUUCUUUUCUUUCUAAUGCUUCACGAUCCAUUCAACUAUCAACAUAUAAAAUAAAAUCGAGGAGUAAUAAGAAAUACUUCUUAGUGAUGUCUGAUUGAGUAGCUUCACUCGCACUUCUUAUAUGGGAGAAAAUCUACUUGCAUGGUUGUACACUGUUAAUCUUGGUAUGUCGUUGUUGGACGAGUGAACGAAAUUUUAGACUAAAAAUUCUUGAGAAAUUAAACUUACAUAUGAAUGCAUAGCUCACUAUGUAAAUGCGGACCCAUAAUUUAAAAGAGGCAGGAGCACUGUUGAGCAAAUACUGGAGCAGGAAUACAACCUAGGCAACACACUAAUAGUGAAAUUACAUCCCCUCCGGACUAGAGUCAAAUUUACUGUCGAACCAACAGUUUCAAUUAAACCCAUAAGUUUUAAUGCAGAGUAAAAAAUUAUAUGUAAAAAUUUAUCAAAAUUGCAAAAUAGUUGAUAUGAACCUAUAACUUUAAAAAUAUAAUGAAUUCAGUAUUAAAAAUUUUGAAAGUAAAACUCAUAGGAUUUAAAUCUUAGAUCUACCUCUCCUCCCAAACCCCCUCCAAAUGGUCCAGUGCUACACCCCAAAUUUUCAUACGUGAGAGUACGUCGUAAGACAUUGAUAUAUGCUCGGAAAUAAGACUAUUCUUGGAAGCAAAUAAAGUAAGUUAAUCAUGUCACCUUGGAGGUUACCAAUUUUUAAGAUCAUGAAUGAUGAGUACCAAGAGGGUUGUAAAUCGUAGAAGCUAAACCAAUUGAAGAAAAUAAGUUUCGUCAAAAGUCGACAAGUUUGGAAUAUUAUAACAUGUACUUUGGGGCGAGGAUACAGUUCUUAACAUGAUAAGGAGGUUAUCCUAUGAUUUAUUUUAGUCGUAUGAUAUUCAUUUUAUACAUUUUGAAGGCAAGAAAUUUGUGGAACAAGAGUUGGUAAAGGUUAUCGCAAGUUAUAUUUAUAAAUUUGCUGAAGUUUAGGUCAAAUGUAGAUGCACUUUUCUCCCAAUAUACUUGGAAUCAAGGGAUGAUCUACCUACAAUUUGAAGAUCUACCAGUCCAGUUUCUAACUCAUUUAACAGUUCAUCAAUAUGACAUCGGACUAGAGAGACAUUUUCAUGAGAUUGCGCCAAUUAGCUCUCUAUGGGGCCCACAUAGGCGGUUUAUGACAUAGGGAUAUAUAUAAGAUGCUCUCAACCCUAUUUUAAGUCAUUAUUUUCAGUAUAUUUUAGACCUUAGAACCCUAGAAACACUCUCUCAAGGUUCUCUCAUGAUUCAAGAGCCAAACAAAGGGCAAACAACACAAAUCAAGUGCCGGGAAUCCCAUGGCGCUUGUAUGUUUCUUGUUCUUCUAGUUUUUGCUGAUUUUUGUGUCGUUCCAGCUUGUGUAGGAGGUUGUUUGAAACUGUUUAUGCUGUGUAAAAUACACUCUCAUGGUUUUCAUAUCAACCCUAGGUUAUUUCAAGUCUUGCAAAUGGAUUAUGGUAUAUUUCAACAUCAAAAGUCAAGAAUAACACCUCUUUGAGGUUAUAUUUUCAUUAAGAAUUGCUAUGGGUUGUAUUUGGAUAUUCCAAGUUUUUGGUGUUGUCUAAGGUGAGUAUAAAAACAUACUAAUUGUUCUUUCUUGUAUGUUGGUUAAGUUUUUAGCAUGAUAUACUACAAGAUAUAUUAGGAUUAGCUUAGGUCACUUCAAUAGUGUUAUAUUACCGUUGAGGGUUAUUGUAAGCUGAAUAUGACUUAGAUUUCGAUAUUAAAUUACUGUAGGAGGCAUGUGUAUUGUGUUCUUUCAUGAGCUUAAGGUUAUCUUGAUGCUGAUUAUGUUAAAUGGAUGGAGUAGACAUGAACUAGUGAACAAAGUUACUUAUGGAGAUAGUUGGAGUUGUGAAUUGUUUCCUUAGUUACAAAUAUAUGGUAUAAGGAUAGAAUCAUUUACUAAGAGUGGAGGCCCUUGUCACUAGGGAAAUGCUGCCCAAAUUUACGUAAAUGAGCUACUAGCUUAAGUCAUAGACUUAGCCUUUGCUCAGCACUGAUUUUAAAUCUCCUUAUAUUAUGAUAGAUUUAGUUGUCUUGUUUGAAGAGUUGCUUGGAAGGGAUUAAGGACACAAUGGGUUUAAGGUAUGUUAAGGCACUUAAUUCUUACAUUUGGCAUGAUCUAAUGUAAUAUGAACAUAAACGGUAUGCUAAUACAUAAUGGAUCUACCCCUAGAAACUAAGGUUGUCCAUGUUGUUCUUUCCUUAUAAAGUUAUUCUAAACAAGUGUGUAGGAUCCUUAAAUCCUACUAAGGUUCAUAUUGAUGGUAAGGAUGUCCAUAAUGUUAAUCGAAUGUGCAAUGACCUUAUAUCACUCCGAAAGGGUUAGAACGUGAUAACAUGAGCCGAGCAUGCAUUAUAUAAAUAUAUACCCCUCUUGUCUAAAGGCAGGAGCACUAACUGUUGAGCAAAUACUGGAGCAAGAAUACAACCUAGGCAACACACUAAUAGUGAAGUUACAUCCCCUCCGUGCCAGAGUAGAAUUUACUGUUGAACCAACAGUUUCAAUUAAACCCAUAAGUUUCAAUGCAUAGUAAAAAAUUAUAUGCAAAAAUUUAUCAAAAUAGCAAAAAUAGUUGAUAUGAACCUAUAAUUUAAAAAUAUAAUGAAUUCAGUAUUAAAGACAUUGAAAGUUAAACUCAUAGGAUUUAAAUCUUAGAUCUACCACUCCUCUCAACCCCCCUCCAAAUGGUCCUGUGUUACACCCCAAAUUUUCAUAUGUGAGAGUAUGUCGUAAGUCAUUGAUGUAAGCUCGGAAAUGAGACUAUAUUUGGAAGAAAAUAAAGUAAGUUAAUCAUUUCACCUUGGAGGUUACCAAUAUUUAAGAUCAUGAAUGAUGAGUACCAAGAGGGUUGUAAAUCAUAGAAGCUAAACCAAUUGAAGAAAAUAAGUUUCGUCAAAAGUCGACAAGUUUGGAAAAUAUUAUAGCAUGUACUUUGGGGUGAGGCCAGAGUUCUUAACGUGAUGAAGAGGUUAUUCUAUGAGUUAUAUUAGUCGUAUGAUAUUCAUUUAAUCCAUUUUAAAGGCAAGCAAUUCAGGAACAAGAGUUGGCAAGGUCAUCGCAAGUUACAUUUAUAAAUUUGCUGAAGUUUAGGUCAAAUGUAGAUGCACUUUUCUCCCAAUAUUCUUGGAAUCAAGGGAUGAUCUACCUACCAAUUGAAGAUCUACGAGUCUAGUUUCUAACUCAUUAAACAGUUCAUGAAUAUGACAUCGGACUAGAGAGACAUUUUCGUGAGAUUGCGCCAAGUAGCUCUCUAUGGGGCCCACAUAGGCGGUUUAAGACAUAGGGAUAUAUAUAAGAUGCCUAAACCCUAUUUAAAGUCAUUAUUUUCAGUAUAUUUAAGACCUUAGAACCCUAGAAACACUCUCUCAAGGUUCUCUCAUGAUUCAAGACCCAAACAAAGGUCAAACAACACAAAUCAAGUGUCGGAAAUCCCAUGGCGCUUGUAAGUUUCUUGUUCUUCUAGUUUUUGCUGAUUUUUGGGUGGUUCCAGCUGGUGUAGGAGGUUGUUUGAAAUUGUUUAUGUUGUGUAAAAUACACUCUCAUGGUUUUAAUAUCAACCCUUGGUUACUUCAAGUCUUGCAAAUGGAUUAUGGUAUACUUCAACAUCAAAAGUCAAGAAUAACACCUCUUUGAGGUUGUAUUUUCAUUAAGAAUUGCUAUGGGUUGUAUUUGGAUAUUCGAAGUUUUUGGUGUUGUCUAAGGUGAGUAUAACAACAUACUAAUUGUGCUUAUACUUUCUUGUAUGUUGUUAAGUUUUUAGGAUGAUAAACUACAAGAUAUACUGGGAUUAGCUUAAGUCCAUUCUAUAGUGUUGUAUUAUCAAUGAGGGUUGUUGUAAGAUGAAUAUAACUUGGAUUUCGAUUUGAAAUUACUGUAGGAGGCGUUUUUAUUGUGUUCUUUCAUGAGCUUAAGGUUAUCUUGAUGUUGAUUAUGUUAAAUGGAUGGAGUAGACAUGAACUAGUGAACAAAGUUACUAAUUGAAGAUAGUUGGAGUUAAUAAUUGUUUCCUUAGUUAUAAAUAUAUGGUAUUAGGAUAGAAACAUUGACUAAUGACUUCAUUAUCAUGUUAAUGAUACUUUUAUGUUAAUAUAAGAAGUGUAUAAGGGGUGAUAUGUGUUAUACGGAUUCCAAUUGAAGCUUGCCGCUCGUCGUGUAGUACUUGUGACUUGUUGGUAUUAUAAGGUUUCUUGUUAUUGACAUUUAUAUGUUGAUGGAUUUCUCUUGUUGUUGUUGUUGGUGUACGGUAUUGGUGGAGGCCCUGGUUACUAGGGAGAUGCUGCCCAAAUUUACGUAAAUGAGCUACUAGCUUAAGUCGUAGACUAAGCCUUUGCUCAACAGUAAUUUUAAAUCUCCUUAUAUUAUGAUAGAUUGAGUUGACUUGUUUGAAGAGUUUCUUGGAAGGGAUUGAGGACUCAAUGGGUUUAAGAUGUGUUAAGGCACUUAAUUCUUUCUUUUGGUAUGAUCUAACGUGAUAUGAACAUAAACGGUAUGCUAAUACAUAAUGGAUCUACCCCUAGAAACUAAGGUUGUCCAUGUUGUUCUUUUCAUAUAAAGUUAUUCUAAACAAGUGUGUAUGAUCCUUAAAUCCUACUAAGGUUAAUAUUGAUAGUAGGGAUGUCCAUAAUAUUAAUCGAAGGUGCAAUGACCGUAUAUCAUUUCGAAAGUGUUAGAACGUUAUUCCAUGAGUCGAGCAUGCAUUAUAUAUAUAUAUAUAUAUAUAUCUAUUUUACUCUACCGAGCUGCGCGAUAGUCGUCCGGGUACGACACCUAUUGUGGAACAACUGAUCAGUUGUGUUUACCGAGCUCUAUGUGGCCGGGUAUGAUUACAUCGAGCCUUAUGAUGGCCGGGUAUGUUUUUAUCAUGUCCUCUUCGAGGCCGGACGAUAUAAUGAUAAUGAUGCCCACAGAGGCCUACGCUUUUAAAAAGUUUUUGUAUAUAUAUGUAUUAUUCAUUUCAUGACAUUAGCCCCUAUAGGCACUCAAAUGUUACAUGUUGUAUCUCCUUUAUCUCUUUUUACAUUACUAUUCUUAUUUAUAUAUUCCUUCCUUACAUACUCGGUACUUUAUUCAUAACAAUAUUCCUUUUGACUGGGGACACAGCAUUUCAUGCCCACAUGUCCCGAUAGACAGAUUGACAUUCCUCUAAGUAGGCUAUUAGCUGAGCGCAAGGUGUUGGUGAACUCCACUUGCUCCGGAGUUGCCAAUUUGGCAGUAUUUGUUAGGUAUGUAUUAACUGGUAUGGCGAGGCCCUGUCCCAACCUUUAUGAUUUUAUGUACUCAUAGAGGCUUCUAGACAAAUGUCAGGUCUAUGGAUACUUGUAUGGCCUUGUCGGCCUAUGUUUUGAGUUUAAAAAUGGUCAUGUCAGUCUUAUAGGCCCGCAUGUCACACGUAAGAGUUUACAUAUCAUGGUGGGUCUUCAUAUGUUAAGUAUUCCCCUAUGUUUCAUUCUUGUUAUCUCGUGAAGAGUUUUCUAGCUCAUUUACCCAUGAUAGUAUGAUAGGAAAGAUAUGUUAUGUUGGUACUCUAUUGAGUAAGGCACCAGGUGCUCGUCGCGGCCCAUCCGGUUUGGCUCGUGACAUCCAGUUACAUGUCUAACCUUUGAGUUGCCAACCAAAUUAGAAAAAAUUAAAAUCACUACUAGUUGGUCGGAC
rnacentral:lncRNA from 1 species